AGGAGGUUGUCAUGGACAACGAUCACGGUUCUCGACGGGACGUUGACGGAAUAUUCCUUAACGCCGUCGAGAGACUUGAGAAUAUUCUCGAUCAGAGGAACUUCCGAUGAACAACAGAUUCCCAAAACAUCGAAAUCUUUGCAGUAGCGAGAGAAAAAAAUCUAUCACAGCAGCAUCAAAAUCUAAAGUGUGUGUGUUGAGCAUUCAAAACAUGUUUUGGGAACUUACUUUGAUAUCUGUGGGAUACAUAAUUGGAAUGUAGAAGAUCUAUUACUCAUGAGACACACCGAACAAUAUUCAAAGA